rnacentral:rRNA from 1 species
AUUGAACGCUGGCGGCAGGCCUAACACAUGCAAGUCGAGCGGAUGAAGGGAGCUUGCUCCUGGAUUCAGCGGCGGACGGGUGAGUAAUGCCUAGGAAUCUGCCUGGUAGUGGGGGAUAACGUCCGGAAACGGGCGCUAAUACCGCAUACGUCCUGAGGGAGAAAGUGGGGGAUCUUCGGACCUCACGCUAUCAGAUGAGCCUAGGUCGGAUUAGCUAGUUGGUGGGGUAAAGGCCUACCAAGGCGACGAUCCGUAACUGGUCUGAGAGGAUGAUCAGUCACACUGGAACUGAGACACGGUCCAGACUCCUACGGGAGGCAGCAGUGGGGAAUAUUGGGCAAUGGGCGAAAGCCUGAUCCAGCCAUGCCGCGUGUGUGAAGAAGGUCUUCGGAUUGUAAAGCACUUUUAGUUGGGAGGAAGGGCAGUAAGUUAAUACCUUGCUGUUUUGACGUUACCAACAGAAUAAGCACCGGCUAACUUCGUG